rnacentral:sRNA from 1 species
AAUCACCUCCAGAAGCCUUGAAGAUCAGCCUGCCAUCUGCAGACAACACUAGUCUGUUGCUGGGACUUUCCAUGCGAACACCAGCAGCCGCGGCAUUGCCGCGGUCCACAGAUCAAACACUAGUGGCCCAUGGGCCCAUGGCGACAGCCAUGCGGCGGGUUAAAAUAUGACCGGCCUCACCUAGAGAUAGGUGAGACUCAGUGUUCCGUAGGUGAACCUGCGGAAGGAUCAUUAUCGAGUUAGGGUCCUCUGGGCCCGACCUCCCACCCUUUGUGUACCUACCUUUGUUGCUUUGGCGGGCCCGCUGGGAUAACCCACCGGCGGCUUCACAGGCUGCUGAGUGCCCGUCAGAGACCCAUCAAACCCUGUUAAUCGUGCCGUCUGAGUACAAACACAAUAAUCAAAACUUUCAACAACGGAUCUCUUGGUUCUGGCAUCGAUGAAGAACGCAGCGAAAUGCGAUAAGUAAUGUGAAUUGCAGAAUUCAGUGAAUCAUCGAAUCUUUGAACGCACAUUGCGCCCCUUGGUAUUCCGGGGGGCAUGCCUGUUCGAGCGUCAUUACACCACUCAAGCACUGCUUGGUGUUGGGCCACGUCCCUCGCGGACGUGCCCGGAAAUCAGUGGCGGCGCAGCCCGGCUUCAAGCGACAUUGGUCUUUCCAGCUUUGGAAGCCUGGGUCUGGGUCUGCCAGACAACCUCACACUCAUCAAGGUUGACCUCGAAUCAGGUAGGGAUACCCGCUGAACUUAAGCAUAUCAAUAAGCGGAGGAAAAGAAACCAACAGGGAUUGCCUCAGUAACGGCGAGUGAAGCGGCAACAGCUCAAAUUUGAAAUCUGGCUCCUUUGGGGUCCGAGUUGUAAUUUGCAGAGGAUGCUUCGGGUUCGGCUCCGGUCUAAGUUCCUUGGAACAGGACGUCAUAGAGGGUGAGAAUCCCGUAUGUGACCGGCCGCCACGCCCGUGUGAAGCUCCUUCGACGAGUCGAGUUGUUUGGGAAUGCAGCUCAAAAUGGGUGGUAAAUUUCAUCUAAAGCUAAAUAUUGGCCAGAGACCGAUAGCGCACAAGUAGAGUGAUCGAAAGAUGAAAAGCACUUUGGAAAGAGAGUUAAACAGUACGUGAAAUUGUUGAAAGGGAAGCGCUUGCAACCAGACUUGCCCGCGGGUGAUCAGCCGGUGUUCUCACCGGUGCACUCGCCCGUGGUCAGGCCAGCAUCGGUUUGGGCGGCCGGACAAAGUCCCCCGGAAUGUGGCUCCCUUCGGGGAGUGUUAUAGCCGGGGGUGCAAUGCGGCCCGCCUGGACCGAGGACCGCGCU